GACGAACGCUGGCGGCGUGCCUAAUACAUGCAAGUCGAACGCAGUGGGGACGGGUGAGUAACACGUGGGUAACCUCCCAUCAGAGGGGAUAACACUUGGAAACAGGUGCUAAAACCGAUACUGAUGGAGAGACCCGCGGUGCAUUAGCUAGUGGGGGUGGUAACGGCUAACCAAGGCCACGAUGCAUAGCCGCCCUGGGGGGGUGACCGGCCACCCUGGGACUGAGCAACGGCCCAGACUCCUACGGGAGGCAGCAGUAGGGAAUCUUCGGCAAUGGACGAAAGUCUGACCGAGCAACGCCGCGUGAGUGAAGAAGGUUUUCGGAUCGUAAAACUCUGUUGUUAGAGAAGCGGUAUCUAACCAGAAAGCCACGGCUAACUACGUGCCAGCAGCCGCGGUAAUAC
rnacentral:rRNA from 1 species